GUCUUUAUUUCUAGGCGUAACGAGAUUGCGUUGUGAAAUUGAUCUGUGGCGAGAACGCCGUUGCUUGGCCCGCCUAUCAGACGCACACGACUUCCACCGAGCAAUACGUAAUAUGGAAGAGCGCGUGUUUUGUUCUGCAUUGUGUUUCGCGGCCAUUUCUAGUAGCCUAGAUUGAAACUGACAUUGUCGGGAAGAAGCGGAGGUGCACGGCGAAAAGAGCCUAUAUGCUUGCUCCUGGUUAUAUAUAUACGGGAGACCGAAACCAAUCAGCUGACGUUUUUUUGACGACUAGUUUGAUUGAUUUUGUCGUUUCCGUUGAAUUAAAAGCUCACACAACUGUUGCUUGCGCUUUGCAGGCAACAAAUCGCAUGAAAGUUGAGAUAUACGCUCAUUGUGACAUUAUGACUGUGACGGCGGACUCCAUUCUUGUUCGCGGCAGUUGUUCGAGCAUAACAACAACGUCGUGCCCUCCGUCAGGCCGAGCUGGGGGGCCUCCAACUAUGACUACCAUGAAAAGGGGGCCACCUAUGCCUUUAGAAGCCUUGCGCGAUCGGCUACUUCUCAUGAGGGCUACCAAGAGUCCUAUGUCUCCGCUCACAGAGGAGGAAUGCAUAUCUGUCGCGGAUCAGGCCUCAAUGAUUUUUGCUAGUGAACCAAUCCUUCUGUACAUCGAACCACCUAUAAAUAUCUACGGUGAUACACACGGACAGUUCUUCGAUCUUCAACGAGUGUUAAAUGCUGGGGGUUAUCCACCUCUAUCACGUGUGUUGUUUCUGGGCGAUUAUGUUGACCGGGGCAAAAACUCCAUCGAAGUUCUGAUGCUCUUGUUUAUUUACAAGAUACUCCAUCCGCAGGAAGUGCAUUUACUCAGAGGCAAUCACGAAGAAGCCCGGGUAAACAGUACAUAUGGAUUUCUGUCGGAAUGUGUUAACAGAUUCAGUUUUGAGGUGUACCAGGCAUUUAAUAACUGUUUCAAUAAUAUGCCUAUUGCUGCCAUUAUCGCCACACGGAUCUUCUGCUGCCACGGGGGAAUCGUCAAAGACCUGAGCUCACUUAAUGAGAUCGCGGAGUUGAGUCGGCCGCAGAAGGCGCCUAACGAAAACGUUGUCAUGGGUCAGUUAAUGUGGAGCGAUCCUAACCGUGAUAGUGAUGGCUGGUGCCCAAGUAGCCGGGGCGUUGGCUUCAACUUCGGGAAGACACCGCUGUGGGAGUUCCUCGAUAGGUUUAACCUCGAUUUACUGGCUCGUGGUCAUGAAGUUGUUCAAGACGGUUACGAAUUUUUCGGCCGUCGGCGCUGCGUGACAAUUUUCUCAGCGCCUAAAUAUUGUGAUCAAUUCGAUAAUGCGGCAGCCAUUAUGCGAGUUGGUGAAGAUCUGAUUUGUAGCUUUGUUAUAAUCAGACCGGCAACAGCGGAAAACCCGAGAUUCCGCGUCGAAUAUCAUGGAAAAGGUGAAAACUGUCCGACUUUUGCCAAAAACGUGACUAUGCCCGAGUCGACGCCCGGUGAGUCUUCGCCCCCAGUGCAUCCAAGGAAGGUGAAAAAGAAAAAAAAAGGCGCAAGGUGCACGAAGUGUUGCAUUAUAGCGUGAAACACGAGUAAGAGGACCCUGACUCGACUGAAUGAAACCAACAACAAACAAAGCUUCUCAUUUCUGUUUAUCAUAAAUCCAGCUCGGAAGUCAGUGACUUCCGAAGUGGUCGUCCACUUCAAGUUGAACCUUUACACGUUCUUUGGCAGAUAUCGACCGAGAAGAACUAACAGAAACGUCCUAUAGACAAGCCACGCCAUUCGAUAUAGCUACGGAGAAGACGGGAAUGGUUCAUGUAUCCAGGUAACCAACAACGGCGUAACCACCGAAAUAAGUUCAAAGUUAUGGCAGUUUAUUAUUACCAGUUUUGACUGAUUUACCUUUAUGUAAAAACAAUAUCACCGGAGCAAGCCAGCGUUAUUUGGGCCGAUAAAUAAAACUGCGCUUGAAGAUUGACCAGGUUUCUGCCGAGACCACCAGUAUCUAUUGGAGCAAAAAGUUUCAAUGUAUGUUGUUUAGUUUCUUGCUAGGUAGCCACUCCACGACAGCGUGUUGUUGCUAUGGCAAAGAUACUUGCGUGAGCUUAUUUUUGGCUAACCAAAGAAACUAGACGGCUUGACAGUGAUUUUUAUGCGGUGAGUUCAUCUUUAACGACACCCUCGAAGACAACAAACGAGCGUACCGAAGCUAACCACCGCUUCAUGCGGCGUGAACGAGAUACUCUUUCCCGGGAACAUUUGGCUAUUUAGAAAAUACGUAUGUAGAUGUCCGCUUGAAUAAAUGCUUGGUUUACUAACGUUGGAUUUUCGUCAUGGGUAGCCGUUGUCAGUAGGCGACGACUCGGGGAAGUAGAGAGAGCCUUCAAAUUUGUCGCCGUAUUAUGUCAAUUAUAUUGCCUACGCAAAAGUCUUGCUUCUUUUUGCAUCGAAGAAAAGCGUCGAAGCUUUGAUGCCGCUUCUGUUGAAUUUGUUUAGCGUUCUGCCUCCGCCAUUGUUAGCUGAUGAUUCAGGUUCGUUCAAUGUUGUUAGGAACUAUACCGAUGUUAUUUUUGUACCAAAUGUACAAUAACCUAGACUAGUCAAGCUAGAUGAUCAAUACAAAAUGUAUGACCUGUAUAUUACUGCUGACAUAUCAUAUGAACCUUUCAAGGGGAAACGGCAUUUGUCCCAUGAACGAGGCGUAUACUUAUAACAAUAGUCUUGACAAGAAUAUAUAUAUAUAUACCAAGUCGUGAUUUAAUUGGUAAUGGACGUAUUCACGAAGAGCGUUAUUUUGCCUACUUGAAAACACUUUGCUAUUCUAUAUGAUAUUAGCUACUUAGAGAUGUUUCGACUUCAUUGUCAGCCUUUUGGCGACUCCAAAACCCCUUUUUAAAGCCGCCACAACUACCAACUUAAGCAUGGGCUUCAUCCAUAGGUAAUACAUAAUGUACGCAAAAUGUAUGGUUACAACAAUGUUUUGAGGAACAUUUGCGCACAGGUGAAGCUGCUGGUAGUACACGGGAUCAUAUCUAGCCUGGGCAUUUUAGGGUCUGAUAGUACUUUAACGUACAAAUUCGAUAUCGCCCCAAACAAGGCUCUGUAUUGGAUUUCAGCUUCGAUGAUUUGUUGCGUUACUGUUUAAGCCGCUAUUCGAAAAUACGUCUCAUAUCAUUCACUCUAGAACUAACCCAAAUGUUCGCUUAAUCCUAUGCAAAACUGUGUCCAUUAGCCGGCCAAAAUAUUAUGGGUCAGGUACUGUAAUCAGACGUCAGACAGAGUUCGCCAAAGUCAGUCCAUUGUCGUUAUUACCUCGGUAGAUACAUAGUAACUAAGAUAAUAAUAAUAAUAAUGAGCGAAAUAAUCUUUUAGGCAAAGUGGCAUCAAGCUCGUCCUAUUUACAGAACCAUUGUCGUGUACUACAUAAUCACUGUAAUGGUUUCGCUGAAUUUUUAAGAGAAAAUAUUUUUCAGAAAAAUAAUUAAACCUAUAUAAAUGUAUAAUAUUAUACAAGAUGUUAAAAUCGAUAAAGUCGGUAACUUCAAGUUUAAUAUAUAAUAUAUUAGGAACGGAUCCAUGGUUUACCUCGUGAAUAAACCUUAGUUAGAGGAUGACUUUUUUCCGGACGCUAAGUUGAAAAAACAGACGUUACCGUCCAGACAAAAAAUGCAUGUGUAUUGUAUACGGCUUACGCCCGUCAUGACCAUGAUAUCACUAAAUAUCUAAUCUUAAUACAACUGUCACUCUUUACAUAGAGCUUGCUUGAAAUUGCAACGGAACUUUUAUACGCCGUACCGCUAAACAAAACAUAAUCCGUUGGAGCUACGAACUCCGUCCGGUCAUCAACCUUCGCGAUUCUGCUAAAAGAACGCGUUCUAAAACCGCUACAGAGAUAAUUCCACGCCUCAACGAGACAUACUGAUUGCAAAAAAUGUUAGGAGCUGCUGGAUCACAAGCUAAUGGCAAAUUUGGCCCCGGGUUGGAACUGAAGCUUGAAGUCGGGGGUUAACCUUCCCAAAGUUGGUAAAAAGGUGACCUCCGACGUCAGUCCUUGAGCUGAUCGCGCAGCUCCUACGGCCCCCCACAUUUGACCUACCGCAAUACGUGUAAAUUUGUAGGCUGCGGUGGUAACAAUGCGGCUCACUGCCAAAUGGCAAAUGAAAUCCUAAUAGAUGAAACAAACAAAUCGAUGACUGCUCCAACGGAAAUAUUGAUUACUAUAUUAGACAAAAGAGUAGCUUCUUAAUGCUAGUAACGACUAUUCGGCCAAAGCUAUUGCACAAAUAGGCGACUGGCAGACUAGUGCCAAUCAGACGUGUUUAAGUUUGCGUACGUAGAAGAUUAGAAAGAACAAUAUAGUGUACAAUAAAAGAUGAUUUUACUUACUACAUAUCGUGCUUGAUCGCCACUCGGCUGUGUCUGGUAUACCUGAGCAGAGUGAUUAUGGCAUGAAGGAGCUGCAUCUACGUUUUAUAUGAUAAACCCAUUACGAUAGGUUCAUCAGUUCUCGUUUGAUGGGGUGAGAGUGAGAACACAAGUGAAGGCAUUCAAAGGCAAGGGAACGACAUUAAUUUUCAGACAAAGACUCGCGAGGAACUUCACCGUAUUGUCAAGGUUCGAGGCUUCAGCGUGUGUACCUCGUCAGCCUACCGAGGGCAGUUUUCGGACUUAGAGACCGUUUUAGAUUUUUCAUGCUAUGUUAUCAGAUAAUGCAAAACAUUCAAUUUUUAGCCCCGAGCAGUAUUCUUUGAACCGUGUUUUGGAAAGGAUUAAAAGUCUCUCAGUGCCGGAGCCGAGAGUUCGCGAACGAGAAACCCCUGAUCUCAGUUUCGGACUAAUUUCGUUUAUAUGACUCGACUUUUACAUGGGAUGCGACAGUUAAGCAUUGCUUCAAUUGUAUUGAGAAAAAGUAUAUUGCAUCAAACGAUCUAAGGCGGUCUCGAUUCUGAUGCCAUAACGAAGAAACUCCUCUAAGUCAUUUGGAUACAACCCCUGUUGGUUAGCUUAGAGCGUGUAUAUAUUAUAAUUAUCCCUUGUCGUAUUGUCUGUUUCAAUUGUUUGUUUUUAGGCUUUCUCAUUUCGACACGUACAAAGCAAUACAUAAGACUGAUUUUACUUUCUGAUCAGCUCUCUCUCUUUUUGCA